rfam:Gymnopus luxurians FD-317 M1 unplaced genomic scaffold GYMLTscaffold_91, whole genome shotgun sequence.
GGGCAUGUAGCGUAGGGGUUAUCGCGUUCGCUUUGCAUAUAAAUAAGAAUCUUUGUAUGUGCAUGCGAAAGGUCUCCGGUUCAAAUCCGGACUUGUCCA